UGCGCGGUGGAGAAGUUGGUUAUCUCGCGAGUCUCAUAAACUCGAGGUCGAAGGUUCGAAUCCUUCCCGCGCAA
rnacentral:tRNA from 1 species